CGGGUUCAAAUACAGUGUCACUUCACUGGGUUGCUUUGGACCAUUCAUGUUCUCUGAGCCCAACUCUCCCACGGGGUGUUUACGGAAAAAACCGAGGAAGAGGGGAAUGCAAGGUGCUGCCUGUCCACUAUCCAGAGUUGUUUGUCUUUCUUAUCCACAGUUAAGUCUGAAGUGUUAUGUAGCAGUUACCUGUCUAUUUCAAUUCUAAGGUCUCAUACAAUUUAGUUCCUUAAUUUUGGGGGGAAAAUUCAGAUUCAGAAAAAAUGUGUAUAUAUAUAUAUAUAUCCCUAUAAUUCCUUGCUUUGGGGUCAGGGCAACUGAAUAGAGCUGAACAUUUACUGGCUGGAUGCCCCUUCUGAUGCCUAAGUGACACCUAUCCUGCGCAGGCUGCACUGGCUACCUGUGGCCUUCCGGGUGGGCUUCAAGGUGUUGGUGAACGUCUUUAAAGCGCUCCAUGGCAUAGGGCCGGGUUACUUACGGGACCGCCUGCUGCUACCGAAUACCUCUCACCGACCCGUGCGCUCUCAGAGAGGGACUCCUCAGGGUGCCGUCGGCGCGACAGUGUCAUCUGGCGACACCCAGGGGAAGGGCCUUCUCUGUGGGGGCUCCCGCCCUCUGGAACGAACUCCCCCCAGGACUUUGUCAACUUCCGGACCUCCGAACCUUUCGCCGCGAGCUUAAAACUUACUUAUUUAUCUGCGCUGGACUGGGUUAGUUUUUUAAGUUAUGGGUUUUUAAUGGGUUUUAUCUCCAAAUUUUAAUUGUGGCCAAUUUAAUAAGUUUUUUAAAUUGUAUUUUAAUUGUAUUUAUAGUGUAUUGUAUGUUUUUACUUGGCUGUGAACCGCCCUGAGUCCUUCGGGAGAAGGGCGGUAUACAAAUUUAAAUAAUAAAUAAAUAAAUAAAUAAAUAAGUAGA